ensembl:lncRNA
CUCUUCCCGGACUGGACGGACGUGGACCCUGUGCUGUUUGCUGGCUUCCCUGGUUUUAUGAGACAAAAACUCGCGUAUUGUAAAGUGUUCUUGGUUAUUCACUGGAAAGUUAGUUAAGAGUCAAGUAAUUGAGACAUCAAAUGUCGUUGACAGUGCCCACUGACGAUGUUUGCCCAUCAAGAAGUUAUCCUUGACUAAAGCUGAGGGGUUUUUUAUUCAUUCUUGAAGUAAUUUCGAACGUGAAAGUUGUACUGAAGAAAGAAAGGACAUCUCAGUGACAGUACUCCAAGGAGCAUGCAAUUCGGAAAUUGGAACGUCCUUGUGGAGUACCUUGUGCUCUUAAUCAUACUCCCAUAUUACAUUGCACUUUGAAUCCUGUUGAGUUUUCCCUAGGAGGGGAAAAAUAGUGCAAAUCACACAUUUUGAAGACAAAUUCAACAUGUGUAAGUAAGGAACAACAAACAGUCUAUAUAUAAAUCAUAUUACACUUGCAUUCACUUUAAGAGAUGUUAAUGUAUCGCUG